GAUGAACGCUGGCGGCGUGCUUAACACAUGCAAGUCGAACGGUGAAGGCGGAGCUUGCUCUGCUGGAUCAGUGGCGAACGGGUGAGUAACACGUGAGCAAUCUGCCCCUGACUCUGGGAUAAGCGCUGGAAACGGCGUCUAAUACUGGAUACGAGCUGCGAAGGCAUCUUCAGCAGCUGGAAAGAAUUUCGGUCAGGGAUGAGCUCGCGGCCUAUCAGCUUGUUGGUGAGGUAAUGGCUCACCAAGGCGUCGACGGGUAGCCGGCCUGAGAGGGUGACCGGCCACACUGGGACUGAGACACGGCCCAGACUCCUACGGGAGGCAGCAGUGGGGAAUAUUGCACAAUGGGCGAAAGCCUGAUGCAGCAACGCCGCGUGAGGGACGACGGCCCUCGGGUUGUAAACCUCUUUUAGCAGGGAGGAAGCGAAAGUGACGGUACCUGCAGAAAAAGCGCCGGCUAACUACGUG
rnacentral:rRNA from 1 species